UACGGAGGAUGCAAGCGUUAUCCGGAAUGAUUGGGCGUAAAGCGUCCGCAGGUGGCUGUGUAAGUCUGCUGUUAAAGAGUCUAGCUCAACUAGAUAAGAGCAGUGGAAACUACAUAGCUAGAGUACGUUCGGGGCAGAGGGAAUUCCUGGUGUAGCGGUGAAAUGCGUAGAGAUCAGGAAGAACACCGGUGGCGAAAGCGCUCUGCUAGGCCGCAACUGACACUGAGGGACGAAAGCUAGGGGAGCGAACAGG
rnacentral:rRNA from 1 species